UCUCUACUUGUUAUAGUUUGCUUAUUUUUAGGAUCUAUAAAACGGUAGCCCUUUGCGGAGUCACUAUAACCGACAAAAAUCAACUCACGGGAUUUUGGAUCCAGCUUUUGGCGGCGUUCUUUAGAUGGUGCCCUUUCGUCCUUGAGCCAUUCUCUGUGUAACGUCAUGUGCCUCGACGCACCCGAAUCCACGUACCAGUUCAGCGAGUCAUUAUGUGUGGUGGCACUGGUGGCUGAAAAAGUUGCAAUAAAAGCAUUAUCUUUACUA